ensembl:snoRNA
GCAUUUGGGGAGGUGGAAAAUUAAAAUAAAAUGGGGGGAGAGAGAAAGGAUCUCCUCCAGACCUCAGAGUGGCCUCACAGUAGCUACUCUUUCCUUGAGGCAUGCAGUAGGU